rnacentral:rRNA from 1 species
CUAAUACAUGCAAGUCGUACGCUUCUUUUUCCACCGGAGCUUGCUCCACCGGAAAAAGAAGAGUGGCGAACGGGUGAGUAACACGUGGGUAACCUGCCCAUCAGAAGGGGAUAACACUUGGAAACAGGUGCUAAUACCGUAUAACAAUCGAAACCGCAUGGUUUUGAUUUGAAAGGCGCUUUCGGGUGUCGCUGAUGGAUGGACCCGCGGUGCAUUAGCUAGUUGGUGAGGUAACGGCUCACCAAGGCCACGAUGCAUAGCCGACCUGAGAGGGUGAUCGGCCACAUUGGGACUGAGACACGGCCCAAACUCCUACGGGAGGCAGCAGUAGGGAAUCUUCGGCAAUGGACGAAAGUCUGACCGAGCAACGCCGCGUGAGUGAAGAAGGUUUUCGGAUCGUAAAACUCUGUUGUUAGAGAAGAACAAGGAUGAGAGUAACUGUUCAUCCCUUGACGGUAUCUAACCAGAAAGCCACGGCUAACUACGUGCCAGCAGCCGCGGUAAUACGUAGGUGGCAAGCGUUGUCCGGAUUUAUUGGGCGUAAAGCGAGCGCAGGCGGUUUCUUAAGUCUGAUGUGAAAGCCCCCGGCUCAACCGGGGAGGGUCAUUGGAAACUGGGAGACUUGAGUGCAGAAGAGGAGAGUGGAAUUCCAUGUGUAGCGGUGAAAUGCGUAGAUAUAUGGAGGAACACCAGUGGCGAAGGCGGCUCUCUGGUCUGUAACUGACGCUGAGGCUCGAAAGCGUGGGGAGCAAACAGGAUUAGAUACCCUGGUAGUCCACGCCGUAAACGAUGAGUGCUAAGUGUUGGAGGGUUUCCGCCCUUCAGUGCUGCAGCUAACGCAUUAAGCACUCCGCCUGGGGAGUACGACCGCAAGGUUGAAACUCAAAGGAAUUGACGGGGGCCCGCACAAGCGGUGGAGCAUGUGGUUUAAUUCGAAGCAACGCGAAGAACCUUACCAGGUCUUGACAUCCUUUGACCACUCUAGAGAUAGAGCUUCCCCUUCGGGGGCAAAGUGACAGGUGGUGCAUGGUUGUCGUCAGCUCGUGUCGUGAGAUGUUGGGUUAAGUCCCGCAACGAGCGCAACCCUUAUUGUUAGUUGCCAUCAUUCAGUUGGGCACUCUAGCAAGACUGCCGGUGACAAACCGGAGGAAGGUGGGGAUGACGUCAAAUCAUCAUGCCCCUUAUGACCUGGGCUACACACGUGCUACAAUGGGAAGUACAACGAGUCGCGAAGUCGCGAGGCUAAGCUAAUCUCUUAAAGCUUCUCUCAGUUCGGAUUGUAGGCUGCAACUCGCCUACAUGAAGCCGGAAUCGCUAGUAAUCGCGGAUCAGCACGCCGCGGUGAAUACGUUCCCGGGCCUUGUACACACCGCCCGUCACACCACGAGAGUUUGUAACACCCGAAGUCGGUGAGGUAACCUUUUGGAGCCAGCCGCCUA